rnacentral:rRNA from 1 species
AACGAACGCUGGCGGCAUGCCUAACACAUGCAGGUCGAACGAGACCUUCGGGUCUAGUGGCGCACGGGUGCGUAACGCGUGGGAACCUGCCCUUAGGUUCGGAAUAACUCCCCGAAAGGGGCGCUAAUACCGGAUAAUGUCUUCGGACCAAAGAUUUAUCGCCUUUGGAUGGGCCCGCGUUGGAUUAGCUAGUUGGUAGGGUAAAAGCCUACCAAGGCGACGAUCCAUAGCUGGUCUGAGAGGAUGAUCAGCCACACUGGGACUGAGACACGGCCCAGACUCCUACGGGAGGCAGCAGUGGGGAAUAUUGGACAAUGGGCGAAAGCCUGAUCCAGCAAUGCCGCGUGAGUGAUGAAGGCCUUAGGGUUAUAAAGCUCUUUUACCCGGGAUGAUAAUGACAGUACCGGGAGAAUAAGCUCCGGCUAACUCCGUG